rnacentral:tRNA from 1 species
GCGGCCGUCGUCUAGUCUGGAUUAGGACGCUGGCCUCCCAUAAGCCAGCAAUCCCGGGUUCGAAUCCCGGCGGCC